UACGUAGGGCGCGAGCGUUUGUCCGGAAUUAUUGGGCGUAAAGAGCUCGUAGGCGGUCUGUCGCGUCGGUUGUGAAAACCCAAGGCUCAACCUUGGGCCUGCAAUCGAUACGGGCAGACUAGAGUACUGCAGGGGAGACUGGAAUUCCUGGUGUAGCGGUGGAAUGCGCAGAUAUCAGGAGGAACACCGGUGGCGAAGGCGGCGACCUGGUCCUUGACUGACGCUGAGGCGCGAAAGCGUGGGGAGCAAACAGG
rnacentral:rRNA from 1 species